GUCUACAGCCAUGCUACUCUGAACAAGCCCCAUCCCGUCUGAUCUCGGAAGCUAAGCAGGGUCGGACCUGAUUAGUACUUGGAUGAACACCUAGGAAGACCAGGUAUUGUAGGCA
rnacentral:rRNA from 1 species